UUAUUAUUAUUAUUAUUGAAAACUGUCACUAUUAGAUGGCAAAACCUUGAUUUCUUCUGCUACUUAGUUUAUUGCCUCUAUUCUCCAUGGACAUAGUUGUCAUUAUGCAGACCAGAAAUAUAUACUGUAUGCAGGGCAUACAGUGUAUGGAAGAUUGUGUUGAAGUUGACCUUAUGUUCAAAUGUACUACUAAGGGCAUUGAAGCAUUGCUGAAGGGUGAUUUAUAGAUACAUUUUACUGCCUCAAGACAGGUUUUUAAAUGUAUACAGUGGUUUAAGAACAGUUUAGUUUAUGAACAACUUGGAUUAAGAACGCUGCAAACCCGGAAGUAGGUGUUUUGGUUUGUGAACUUUGCCUUGGAAGCAGAACAUGUUUUGCUUUCUGUUGAGUGUGUUCCAUUUGUAAAUUGAGUCCCCUACUGCUAUGGGAAAGCAUGCCUUGGUUUAAGAAUGCUUUGGUUUAAGAACGGACUUCCGGAACGGAUUAAGUUUGUAAACCAAGGUACCACUGUACUACCAAUUGCAAACUGCAGCAGUGGUUGUUUCUUUGCUGGCUGAUCACAUGAUCUCUCAACAUAUUACUCUUCAGUUCUGAUAUUUCUACCACAUCGAAACUUAGUGAUUUUUGCUCCAACAUCCAAGACUAAUAAUAAUCUAAUCUAACAUUGGCUUUAGUUUUAAUUGUGCUGUAGAUUUGGGAGGAAGAACUUGUGGCCCUCCAGAUGUUAACGUUAGCUCUCAUAAUUUCUGAUUGUUGGCUGAGACUGAUGGGAGUUGUAGUCCAACAACAUCUGUAAACCAUUCCCUAGCCGUUCUGUAGAUUAUCACCACUCUUGUUUUCAUGGAGGGAUCACUUCUAGAUUAUCCUUAUAGAUGGCAACAAAAUUAAAAAACAAAAUAGGAAAAUGUUGCAUAUAGGAAAGAAAAGUCAAAGAUUCUUAUACAUGUGUGAGAUGGGAUACAAAUAAGUUGGCAGGAACUCUGGAAGAAAGGCUUAGACCACUGUAAUAGACAAUAAACAGAUUGUGAAUGACCCAUGUAAUAGGGUGCCACAAGAGACUAACAGAACUUUGGGAUAUACAUAGUAGUAAUGCAGCUGACACUAUAUCACCAGUGUUUUUAAGUGCUAGAAGUGACAGGAUCAAUAUGGGACUUGAGUGUUCAGAAACUUCAAAUACACAACUCUUUAUUGGCAUAGGUUUCCAAAUCUAUAUCAGCUCUGUGUGCUGUACAUAUACUGACAGAUGGAUUUAGUGGGCAGAGUUUGACUUUGGAGGCCUAAAAUCUCUAUGAAGGACUCCUCCUUCCCUCUGGUAUCUGCUGAAAGCCCUGAGUUAAUUCUACAAGCCAGGAGCAUCAAAGAACUGGAUCUUAGUAGCUAUUACCUUGGUUCUUUGAAACUAUUUUCCAGUAGAUGCACAUUGGUGCAUGUCCCCGCUGAACUUAUGCUCCCUGUUUUCCAGUGGUCUUUGAAGUUCGACGAAUGUGCUUGCUUGGUCUGGAAAUGGCUGUUUUAAUAUAAAUUUGCUGUUCUACGUUGUUUGAGUUUAUCCUCAUUUCCUUGUAUGUUUGAAUUUGAAAUGGAUUAUGAAAUGCUGUUAAUCACAUUUCUUCCAUCAUGGGACUGAAGGAGACGUACAUGGGGACUCAAUAUUUGUUGAUGUUUUUUAUUUGCAAGCAACAUUGAGACACAUGAAAAGCAGGGUAUAAAGCCUUUAAAUAAAUGACACUGUACUUUCCCACCCAGGCACUGAUCAAGCUCAGACCUGUUUAGCUUGAGGAAAGGUAGCUGCAUUUUGUGCCUUCAGAAUAUUUUUUAAAAAUUGGCUUUUAUAAGUACCUUAAUGGAUUUUUGUUGCACGUUUAAUGGAUUCUGAAAUGUUACUGUUUAUUUUAAUACCUUAACUGUUUUAUGCUUUGAUGGAUGAUAAUAUGACAUUACACCUAUUUGUGGAUUUAAAAACUAUAAACUUCAGUGAGUUUUCAAUAAUGAAAACAGUGAUCUAAAAUAGUUAAAAAGUUUAGUUUCAUAACACGCAUUAAUGAUGAUACAAGGGGAGAGAAAAUCUAAUAAUGAAAGCUAGAGUUAUAACCUCCCUUAUUUACUCAUCUGAAACUGUAUAGAUAACCAGCAAGGGAGGAAUCAUUCUCAACAGUUAAAUUUGGUUCUUUUAUAGAGACCCAUGAUGCUGAUUAAAUAAGAUUAUGUAUCACCCCAAACAUUGUGUGCUAUAAAUUGAGUGCAUACAAAGGUGCACAAUACCAAGGCCUUCUUGGUGGGCAAAGUGACAUAAGAGGGGGGGGG